UACGGGGGGGGCAAGCGUUGUUCGGAAUUACUGGGCGUAAAGGGCUCGUAGGCGGCCAACUAAGUCGGAUGUGAAAUCCCCAGGCUCAACUUGGGAACUGCAUCCGAUACUGGAUGGCUUGAAUUCGGGAGAGGGAUGCAAAAUUCCAGGUGUAGCGGUGAAAUGCGUAGAUAUCUGGAGGAAUACCGGUGGCGAAGGCGGCAUCCUGGACCGACAUUGACGCUGAGGAGCGAAAGCUAGGGGAGCAAACGGG
rnacentral:rRNA from 1 species